rnacentral:tmRNA from 1 species
UGAAUUGAAUAACAAUUGUGUGCGUGCUAGAAUGAAGGAGUCGCGUUUGUGACUAUAGUGAUAAACGGCUUACGUAAUAGGCUUUAUGGACCAGGGGGCGGUACCCUGCGCCUCUACCACAUAUGGGGGCGAAAUAGGUUCGACAUGAUGCAGUAAAGGUAGAUCUUUCACUCGGCAUUGUACCGUCGUUAUCGGGCUGAUUUGUAAUAAAUGCCGAUCUUAAUAGAGAGAGCAUUGUACUUGCGCUUAACUUAAAUAGGAAACGGAACCGCAAAAAGGUUGCGAAUCUGAAUAAAAAGUUGGACGCUGCAGAAGCUGCUUAAGCUUUUCCCUAGUGGAAUCUCGAGCAUUGUUUUUGCUUACUGUUUUUGAUUAAGCAGUAGAGUCGCGGUCUUUGGGGGAUACCGAGCAACAGAAUUCCCCCUUG